UUGCGGCCCCGAUCGCAACGGAAAUCCUUUUUUUUCGGAGCGGAGCGGAGUAAAAAAAGAUUGUAGUGUAGAGCGGGAAAUGUC
rnacentral:sRNA from 1 species